AGUGAACGCUGGCGGUAGGCCUAACACAUGCAAGUCGAACGGCAGCACAGUAAGAGCUUGCUCUUACGGGUGGCGAGUGGCGGACGGGUGAGGAAUACAUCGGAAUCUACUUUUUCGUGGGGGAUAACGUAGGGAAACUUACGCUAAUACCGCAUACGACCUACGGGUGAAAGCAGGGGAUCUUCGGACCUUGCGCGACUGAAUGAGCCGAUGUCGGAUUAGCUAGUUGGCGGGGUAAAGGCCCACCAAGGCGACGAUCCGUAGCUGGUCUGAGAGGAUGAUCAGCCACACUGGAACUGAGACGCGGUCCAGACUCCUACGGGAGGCAGCAGUGGGGAAUAUUGGACAAUGGGCGCAAGCCUGAUCCAGCCAUACCGCGUGGGUGAAGAAGGCCUUCGGGUUGUAAAGCCCUUUUGUUGGGAAAGAAAAGCAGCAGGUUAAUACCCCGCUGUUCUGACGGUACCCAAAGAAUAAGCACCGGCUAACUUCGUG
rnacentral:rRNA from 1 species